CCUACGGGAGGCUGCAGUGGGGAAUAUUGGACAAUGGGGGCAACCCUGAUCCAGCCAUGCCGCGUGUGUGAAGAAGGCCCUCGGGUUAUAAAGCACUUUCAGUGAGGAAGAACGCCUGGUGGUUAAUACCCAUCAGGAAAGACAUCACUCACAGAAGAAGCACCGGCUAACUCCGUGCCAGCAGCCGCGGUAAUACGGAGGGUGCGAGCGUUAAUCGGAAUUACUGGGCGUAAAGCGCGCGUAGGUGGCUUGAUAAGCCGGUUGUGAAAGCCCCGGGCUCAACCUGGGAACGGCAUCCGGAACUGUCAAGCUAGAGUGCAGGAGAGGAAGGUAGAAUUCCCGGUGUAGCGGUGAAAUGCGUAGAGAUCGGGAGGAAUACCAGUGGCGAAGGCGGCCUUCUGGACUGACACUGACACUGAGGUGCGAAAGCGUGGGUAGCAAACAGGAUUAGAUACCCUAGUAGUC
rnacentral:rRNA from 1 species